rnacentral:tRNA from 1 species
UGGGGUGUCGUCCAAGGGCAGGACCGCGGUUUUUGGUGCCGCUUAUGGGGGUUCGAAUCCCUCCGCCCCAGCCA